rnacentral:rRNA from 1 species
CUACGGAGGGUACAAGCGUUAUUCGGAAUCACUGGGCGUAAAGGGUGCGUAGGCGGUUUGAUAAGUCUGAUGUGAAAUCCUAUGGCUCAACCAUAGAACUGCAUUGGAAACUGUCAGACUAGAAUACUGAAGGGGCAGAUGGAAUUAGUGGUGUAGGGGUAAAAUCCGUAGAUAUCACUAGGAAUACCGAAAGCGAAAGCGAUCUGCUGGGAAGUUAUUGACGCUGAGGCACGAAAGCGUGGGGAGCAUACGGGAUUAGAUACCCUAGUAGUCC